rnacentral:rRNA from 1 species
GAUGAACGCUGGCGGCGUGCCUAAUACAUGCAAGUCGAGCGAACAGACGAGGAGCUUGCUCCUCUUACGUUAGCGGCGGACGGGUGAGUAACACGUGGAUAACCUACCUAUAAGACUGGGAUAACUUCGGGAAACCGGAGCUAAUACCGGAUAAUAUAUUGAACCGCAUGGUUCAAUAGUGAAAGACGGUUUUGCUGUCACUGAUAGAUGGAUCCGCGCCGCAUUAGCUAGUUGGUAAGGUAACGGCUUACCAAGGCGACGAUGCGUAGCCGACCUGAGAGGGUGAUCGGCCACACUGGAACUGAGACACGGUCCAGACUCCUACGGGAGGCAGCAGUAGGGAAUCUUCCGCAAUGGGCGAAAGCCUGACGGAGCAACGCCGCGUGAGUGACGAAGGUCUUCGGAUCGUAAAACUCUGUUAUUAGGGAAGAACAAAUGUGUAAGUAACUAUGCACGUCUUGACGGUACCUAAUCAGAAAGCCACGGCUAACUACGUG